rnacentral:rRNA from 1 species
CUGGAGGUAUCAGAAGUGCGAAUGCUGACAUAAGUAACGAUAAAGCGGGUGAAAAGCCCGCUCGCCGGAAGACCAAGGGUUCCUGUCCAACGUUAAUCGGGGCAGGGUGAGUCGACCCCUAAGGCGAGGCCGAAAGGCGUAGUCGAUGGGAAACAGGUUAAUAUUCCUGUACUUGGUGUUACUGCGAAGGGGGGACGGAGAAGGCUAUGUUGGCCGGGCGACGGUUGUCCCGGUUUAAGCGUGUAGGCUGGUUUUCCAGGCAAAUCCGGAAAAUC